rnacentral:rRNA from 1 species
GCCCAGAUCGUUUACCGUGAAAAAAUUAGAGUGUUCAAAGCAGGCAGAUCCAAUUCUCUGCCACCGAAUACAUUAGCAUGGGAUAAUGGAAUAGGACCCUGUCCUCCUAUUUUCAGUUGGUUUUGGCAGCGCGAGGACUAGGGUAAUGAUUAAUAGGGAUAGUUGGGGGCAUUAAUAUUUAAUUGUCAGAGGUGAAAUUCUUGGAUUUAUGAAAGAUUAACUUCUGCGAAAGCAUCUGCCAAGGAUGUUUUCAUUAAUCAAGAACGAAAGUUAGGGGAUCGAAGACGAUCAGAUACCGUCGUAGUCUUAACCAUAAACGAUGCCGACCAGCGAUUAGGAGACGUUGAAUACAAAACACCACCAUCGGUGCGGUCGUUCUUGGCGUCGGUCUUUCGGCCGGCGCGGGGACGGCUUAGCCCGGUGGCACCGGUGAAUGACUCCCCUAGCAGCCUUGUGAGA